AAAUUUCACGAUGAGGAUACAAAGCUCCCUCUUCUGAUUUCAUGUUGAGGAUAUUUGCAGGCAGAAUCGAACCUUAAUUUAUCUAGCCACCACUGAGUGA